rnacentral:rRNA from 1 species
AUUGAACGCUGGCGGCAGGCCUAACACAUGCAAGUCGAACGAGUGGCGGACGGGUGAGUAAUGUUUGGGAAACUGCCUGAUGGAGGGGGAUAACUACAGGAAACGGUAGCUAAUACCGCAUACCAUCAGAUGCGCCCAGUUGGGAUUAGCUAGUUGGUGGGGUAACGGCUUUCCAAGGCGACGAUCCCUAGCUGGUCUGAGAGGCUGACCGGCCACGCUGGAACGGAGACACGGUCCAGACUCCUACGGAGGGCAGCAGUGGGGAAUAUUGCACAAUGGACGCAAGCCUGAUGCAGCCAUGCCGCGUGUAUGAAGAAGGCCUUCGGGUUGUAAAGUACUUUCAGCGGGGAUGCGUUACCCGAAGAAGAAGCACCGGCUAACUCCGUGCCAGCAGCCACGGUAAUUC